UACGUAGGUGACCAGCGUUGUCCGGAUUUACUGGGCGUAAAGAGCGCGCAGGCGGUCGUUCAAGUCGAGUGUGAAAGCCCCCGGCUCAACUGGGGAGGGUCACUUGAUACUGAUCGACUCGAAGGCAGGAGAGGGAAGCGGAAUUCCCGGUGUAGUGGUGAAAUGCGUAGAUAUCGGGAGGAACACCAUUGGCGAAGGCGGCUUCCUGGCCUGUUCUUGACGCUGAGGCGCGAAAGCUAGGGGAGCAAACGGG
rnacentral:rRNA from 1 species